rnacentral:rRNA from 1 species
UACGUAGGGGGCAAGCGUUGUCCGGAUUUACUGGGCGUAAAGAGCGUGUAGGCGGCCAAGCAGGUCCGUUGUGAAAACUGGAGGCUUAACCUCCAGACGUCGACGGAAACCGCGCGGCUAGAGUCCGGAAGAGGAGAGUGGAAUUCCUGGUGUAGCGGUGAAAUGCGCAGAUAUCAGGAAGAACACCAAUGCGAAGGCAGCUCUCUGGGACGGUACUGACGCUGAGACGCGAAAGCGUGGGGAGCGAACAGG